UACGGAGGAUGCAAGCGUUAUCCGGAAUGAUUGGGCGUAAAGCGUCCGUAGGUGGCUAUGUAAGUCUGCUGUUAAAGAGUGAGGCUCAACCUCAUAAGAGCAGUGGAAACUACAUAGCUAGAGUGCGUUCGGGGCAGAGGGAAUUCCUGGUGUAGCGGUGAAAUGCGUAGAUAUCAGGAAGAACACCGGUGGCGAAAGCGCUCUGCUAGGCCGCAACUGACACUGAGGGACGAAAGCUAGGGGAGCGAAUGGG
rnacentral:rRNA from 1 species